AAACAUGUAAGUAAAUGCUUCUACAAAAUCUAUUAUUUGAGCAUUCAUUCUAAGUAAAAUACAUUCUAGGUUAUGGCAUACAGCCUGUGCUGGCAAAGAGGGUGAAGUAUUAGUCUUUGGAGGAAGUAAAGAUGAUUUGCACUUCCUGGAUAGGGGUCAUUGCAGUGAUUUAUUGAUUUUUCAAACACAACCAUAUUCACUUCUCAGAUUGAGUCUUGAUUGUAUUGGUAAAAAUGCUGUCCUCUUGGAGAAACAAUUACCUUGGUUGCCAUCUAGACUUCUGGAAGACGUUGUGGAGAAGAUAACUUUUUGGGUUGCUGUUAAUCAUCGUCAGAAAAAACAAGCCAAAGCAGAAGAACAUGAGUAGAUUAAUGUCUUUUAAACAACAGUUCCAUUAUCAUUUUAAAACAAACAACACUAUUAUUGGUAAAUUGUUAGAACUAAAUUCUAAAUUUCUGGAUGCAUAAGAAACAGUUUCAAAUGUCAUCAGUGUCAUAACAGCUCCAGUUCAGGCUCUGAAGAUUAAAAAUAUUCUUGGACUUAAGAGCAAUUUGAUCCGAUUAUUGUUAUUAAAGAUAAUGGGGUUCCAAGCAGUGAAAAUGGUGUUUGGCCAUAUAAGGUAGUUUACCUUCUGCUGGUAUUUGAAAAGCAUAUUUUUUUUAAAAAAAAGUUGAAUUGUGUUAAAAAAAAUUGUGCAAACUCAAAAUCCUUUUACAACGUUUUGACAAAGUUGCUUAUUCUGUUGAUUGUACAAAAUUUGUAUUUAACAGUCCUUAACUUAUUGUAAAAAGUGUUUAUAAAAUA